UACAGUAUAUAUAUUAUUGUCUCUGGCAUUUAUACAUGUAUGAUUAUAUAUAUAUAUUAGGAACAUAGUAUUUGCCAGUAAUUCUUGAAGAGUCGAGUAGAUGAAUUACAUAUAUUAACUCUGUCCUUUACGAGGUCUUAUAAAACAUCUGACCAUUCUCCUUCUUACCCCCCCCCCUCACCCCCAAGUGAAAGUAUUUUGAAAGAUUAUUUAACACAAACAGCAAUUUCUCAUCCAUUACAGGGAUUCACCAUAUUGUUUAUUACUGAAAUUACUUAGAAACUAACGCAGAAUGACUAUACUUACAUGUGAUAUUGGAGAGGUUUCGACAAUGCUGUGAUAGUGCAACGACGUAUCUCAGGCGAAUGUGUGGCAGUGAUGGUCACCCAGAUGUGGUACACUUAGACUACUGGUUGAUUGUGUAACAUGAUGUGGUACACUUAGACUACUGGUUGAUUGUGUAACAUGAUGUGGUACACUUAGACUACUGGUUGGUUGUGUAACAUGAUGUGGUACACUUAGACUACUGGUUGAUUGUGUAACAUGAUGUGGUACACUUAGACUACUGGUUGAUUGUGUAACAUGAUGUGGUACACUUAGACUACUGGUUGAUUGUGUAACAUGAUGUGGUACACUUAGACUACUGGUUGGUUGUGUAACAUGAUGUGGUACACUUAGACUACUGGUUGAUUGUGUAACAUGAUGUGGUACACUUAGACUACUGGUUGGUUGUGUAACAUGAUGUGGUACACUUAGACUACUGGUUGAUUGUGUAACAUGAUGUGGUACACUUAGACUACUGGUUGGUUGUGUAACUGACAUGAUGUUACACUGGAACUGAUAUCAAGUGACAUCACCAGGUGGCAGUACAGUACCAUCAAUAGUACCAAGUGACAUCACCAGGCGGAGUCAUUGGUCUACCUCAGAGAACACAUGAAUCGCCAGACAUUAAUAAUGAGAAGGAGAAUAAUAAAAGUAAUAUAAACUAUUGAAGUAAAUAAACAUCAAAUGAAUGUUUUACUAAAUCAUUAUUACAUCAACAUGGAGCAUUGCCUGAUGUAUUGAUUUUUAAAAGCCUGGAAUAUUACAGGAUUGUCGGCACCCUUGUUUAGUUGUUAAAGGUUACAGUACAGUGUAUAUAUUUAUUUGAGUAUUACCAAUGCUUCAGGAGUGUACAUUUACAGAAAGGAUUUAAGAGACACCACAAACGAUAAUUGAAUAUUAAUUAAUGAAAAUAACUUGUGUUGUAACUGUGAUAGCUUACUCAUUUCUUAGAGGAAAUAUAAAUUUUCUGCGAAGCAUCGGUGGAGAAGUGUGUUUUGUCUGUAAAAAAAUUAGUCCCUCCAUCACAUAGGCUAAUGUCUUGAAAACAUUUCUUUUGUUUUGGCAUAUGGUGGACAAUUGGUGGUUUUACAUUAUUACACAAUAUGUUAUUUUCUCAGGUGAAUGGCUUAGAUUAUUGUACUACUGUGUCUUGGUAACAGAAAAUAGAGAAAUAAGAGAAAUGCCAUAAAAAAAAGAUAUGAUUUUUGAGAUAUACUACACAUCAGUCAAUGAGUACUUUUGACCGGAAUGAACGAUACAGCAGAAUAUUUUUAUAUAUAUAUAUUUUGUAUUAUUAUUAUUAUUAUUAUUAUUUUUUAUUAUUCAGAGUUGGUCAGUCAGUACACAUUCGAUCGAAGUCCAAAAAAAAUGGUUAAAGAAUUAUUUUUUUUUAACCAGAACCAGUGCUCUUGGUUAGUGGUUAAAUAAGGUAAAGAGGUGGAUGGCUGCCACCCUCACACCAGCUUGUUAUCUCAUGUUCGUGUACCCAUAAUGUCAUCCCUUUACCCACAUACUGUACUAGUAAUCUCCCAUUGUAUAGAUGCAGACACCUCAUUUAGCAGAAAUUCAUGUAUAGUUGUAGUUUAGACGACCUAGAAAUAAGUGUAAGGAUUCAGGAUUGCUUAAUUUAAAACUAAAGCGUCGGUUCUCAAAAAAAUAUUGUUAAGGCUCACUGAUGAAAAUUCCUGCUGUAGUCAUGCAUCAGCUAAGACAGAAUACUUUUUGAGAUUCUGUGUAAGUAUUGUCAGACUUCAAGCAGUGUGUGUGUGUGUGUGUGUGUGUGUGUGUGUGUGUGUGUGUGUGUGUGUGUGCAUCAAUAGCAUUCAUAAUUCUGGGUCUUAGUGUCAAGAAUGGGACAUACAAAGAGCAUUUAAUGGAUCCCACUUCUUAUGGUUAGAUCCUAUUGGAAUCAAGAGCCGUAGUACCCUAACAUAAUCUCCCAUACUAACAUGAGUAGCCUGAUUAUAACAUAGAGUAAAAGAAAAGCAGCUUAUAUCAGUCAACUGCAAUCCUGAAUAUUUGUUAACUUGUAAUUAAAAGGUGUCAGAUAGUAAAUAGUGUACUGCUGGUGUCAUAUAUCGUAAUUUGUGUCUUCUAGGUGUCAUACAUGGUAAUUUGUGUCUUGUAGGUGUCAUACAUGGUAAUUUGUGUCUUGUAGGUGUCAUAUGUGGUAAUUUGUGUCUUGUAGGUGUCAUACGUGGUAAUUUGUGUCUUGUAGGUGUCAUACGUGGUAAUUUGUGUCUUGUAGGUGUCAUACGUGGUAAUUUGUGUCUUGUAGGUGUCAUACAUGGUAAUUUGUGUCUUGUAGGUGUCAUACAUGGUAAUUUGUGUCUUGUAGGUGUCAUACGUGGUAAUUUGUGUCUUGUAGGUGUCAUACAUGGUAAUUUGUGUCUUGUAGAUGUCAUACGUGGUAAUUUGUGUCUUGUAGGUGUCAUACAUGGUAAUUUUUAUGUCCCAUUGGUGUCAUACAUGAUAAUUAAUGUAUUAGACGUGUCAAAUGUGGUGAUUGGUGUUUUAGUUGUGUCAUAAGUUAAAGUUAUCAUGUUUAAUAUACAGUCAGUGUAUUACAGGUGACACUCAUGAUCAAUGGAGUUAGAAAAGUUGAUAGAGAUGGAAACUUGACCUAAAAUUCAUCACAUAUAAUGUUAAUCGAUUGAACUUCAUGAUUUUUUAGUGAGUGUGGAUGAUUGCAUGACCCACAUAUACUACCUUGAAAUUGUUUUAUGAUUAUUGUGAGGAAAUAUCACGACGAAUUUGUGGUCAUCAUUUAUCAGUAUGGAGAUUAAGAUAUAAUACUCAAUUACAGUAUGGUACAGUAGUGUCAUCAACUCACUCGCUGCUGUAUCAGUUGAUUAAAUGGAUGAAGUUCUACAUACAUGGGCCAGACACCUUCAGACCUUCAGCCAAGAUAAGUAUAAGUUAGUAUACAAGAGGUGUGUUGCAGCCAUCACUACCAAAGUUGUGUCUGUUCUGCCAAGAGCACUGGAGAAGGAUCACCGUGGGUUAUACGAAUUAAUCCAUGGGACUACCUUAGUUACCCCUGCCAAAAAUAUUGUGCUUUUAUACAUACAGUAAGUCCUCUUCCAACGCAUCUUUCGAGGAACCUCACCCAAGCGUUGGUGGAGGGGUGACUGUAUCUAUAUAUAAAAUGCACUCACAUACAUUUCUCUUCCAUAUUUUUAAAAGUGGUGGUGAAUUCAUGUAAAUAUUUUUAAUUUCCAUUAUAUUUUAUACAAAAAAUCCAUGUAAGGAAUUAAAUAAAUUCCCAUUGUG